rnacentral:rRNA from 1 species
GAUGAACGCUGGCGGCGUGCCUAACACAUGCAAGUCGAGCGAUUCUCUUCGGAGAAGAGCGGCGGACGGGUGAGUAACGCGUGGGUAACCUGCCCUGUACACACGGAUAACAUACCGAAAGGUAUGCUAAUACGAGAUAAUAUGCUUUUAUCGCAUGGUAGAAGUAUCAAAGCUUUUGCGGUACAGGAUGGACCCGCGUCUGAUUAGCUAGUUGGUAAGGUAACGGCUUACCAAGGCGACGAUAAGUAGCCGACCUGAGAGGGUGAUCGGCCACAUUGGAACUGAGACACGGUCCAAACGCCUACGGGAGGCAGCAGUGGGGAAUAUUGCACAAUGGGCGAAAGCCUGAUGCAGCAACGCCGCGUGAGCGAUGAAGGCCUUCGGGUCGUAAAGCGCUGUCCUCAAGGAAGAUAAUGACGGUACUUGAGGAGGAAGCCCCGGCUAACUACGUGCCAGCCGCCGCCGUAA